CACGUUGUGGCGCUGGCAGACAUGGGCAAUUGCGAACAGUUCCAUGUCGACGAUGUCGAUGUUGUUCUCGACCAGCCACGGAUCGACGGAGGUCACGAAGCUGUCGCCGGUGCCGCAGACAACGGUCCCGUGACCGGACGACAGCCGGUCCAUCUCCGGCGAGAACGGCGUGCGCCCGCGCGGCGCCAGCGGCAUCGCUUCCAUGUCGCGCUGAACCGUGUGCGCGACCUCCACGAGACCGUUGUGGAUGUGCGCGAUCUUGCCCGCGGUGCCGUAGUUGAUGAUCAGCUUCGGUUGCAACGCCAUGACCGCCAGCG
rnacentral:misc_RNA from 1 species